CAGGAAAGGGGCCGAGGAUGUCAACUCCCCAUUGUUCAAACGGGGCCGAACAGUUAAUGUUGGUGAGGUCNUACUUCUUCCAAGAGAUCAAGAUGUUCAGUUGUAUGCUCCGAGGUUUCUGGCACGAGCCUCCUAUGGCUUGGCAGUCUAAUUUCCACUGGGACCAUUGCUUCAAUGCCAUAGGCUAACAUAAAAGGGGUUUCUCCUGUGGUUGUCCUAUGAGUUGUUCUAUACGUCCAAAGUAUAGAAGGCAGCUCGUCGGACCAAGAACCCCUAGCAUCGCUUAUUCUUGUUCGGAGGUCUUGCAAUAUGAUUCGAUUUGUUACCUCGGCCAGACCGUUGCUCUGAGGAUGCGAAACUAAUGUCAGACGGUGAUCAAUCCCAAGGUUUGAGCAAAAGUUUCUAAACUGUUGAUUGUCAAAUUGCCUGCCAUUGUCGGUGAUGAGGACCUUUGGUAUCCCAAACGUGCAAAUGAUAGACCUCCAAGUGAAGGCUCUUAGCUUGGGCUCAGAUAUUGUGGCGAGAGGUUCGGCUUCUACCCAUUUUGUGAAGUACUCUACUGCUACAGCAACAAACUUUAAUUGACCUCUUGCCACAGGAAAGGGGCCGAGGAUGUCAACUCCCCAUUGUUCAAACGGGGUUGAAUAGUUAAUGUUGGUGAGGUCUUCGGCUGGUGAGUGGAUAACAUUACUAAACCUUUGGCACUUAUCACAAUUUUUAACAUAUUCUGAGGCGUCUUUUUUCAUAGUUGGCCAGUAGUAUCCAUAUCGUACGAGUUUAAAGGCCAAGGCCUUGGCUCCUUGAUGAUUCCCGCACACACCUUCAUGAACUUCAGCAAGGGCCUGGGAUGAUUCUGAUGGCCUGAGACACCUUAGGUACGGAAGAGUAAUACUUCUGCGGAAAAGGACACCGCUGAUCAUGCAGUACCUAGGAGCUCGGGCUCUGAUGCUUCUGGCCAACCUGGCAUCGCUUGGUAGACUUCCGUUUGUGAUGAACUCUAUGAUUGGGUCCAUCCAGGAUGGUUC
rnacentral:lncRNA from 1 species